GAUCGCCUCCGCUUGCUUCUCUUCUCUCUCCCCUUUAUCUCCCCGCUUCUCCAAUGGAAGACCCUCGCGAAUCCUCGCCAUGGCGCCCAAACAGAAGGCACCUUUCCUUUCCUCUUCUGACCUCCAAUCUUUCAUCUCUCUGAUGGUGCGCUGUUGCAGGUCAACCGAUACGACGACAACUGGAAGAAGCAAUGGUACGGAGCGGGUCUCUUCGCGGAGGGAAGCGAGGAGUUGUCCGUCGACGUCGUGAAGAAGCUGGAGACGCGCAAGGUGCUAUCCGGCGUGGAGAAAUCCGGGCUGCUCUCCAAGGCGGAGGAGCUC
rnacentral:lncRNA from 1 species